rnacentral:rRNA from 1 species
UGGGGAAUAUUGCACAAUGGGCGCAAGCCUGAUGCAGCCAUGCCGCGUGUGUGAAGAAGGCCUUCGGGUUGUAAAGCACUUUCAGCGGGGAGGAAGGCGUUAAGGUUAAUAACCUUGGCGAUUGACGUUACCCGCAGAAGAAGCACCGGCUAACUCCGUGCCAGCAGCCGCGGUAAUACGGAGGGUGCAAGCGUUAAUCGGAAUUACUGGGCGUAAAGCGCACGCAGGCGGUCUGUCAAGUCGGAUGUGAAAUCCCUGGGCUCAACCUGGGAACUGCGUUCGAAACUGGCAGGCUAGAGUCUUGUAGAGGGGGGUAGAAUUCCAGGUGUAGCGGUGAAAUGCGUAGAGAUCUGGAGGAAUACCGGUGGCGAAGGCGGCCCCCUGGACGAAGACUGACGCUCAGGUGCGAAAGCGUGGGGAGCAAACAGG